AACGAACGCUGGCGGCAUGCCUAACACAUGCAAGUCGAACGAGACCUUCGGGUCUUGGUGCGCACGGCUGCGUGCCGCGUGGUAACUUGCCCUUAGGUUCGGAAUAACUCCCCGAAAGGGGUCCUAAUACCGCUUAAUGUCUUCCGACCAAAGAGUUAUUGCGUUUGGAUGGGCCCGCGUUGGAUUAGCUAGUUGGUAGGGUAAAAGCCUACCAAGGCGAGGAUCCAUAGCUGGUCUGAGAGGAUGAUCAGCCACACUGGGACUGAGACACGGCCCAGACUCGUACGGGAGGGAGGAGUGGGGAAUAUUGGACAAUGGGGGAAAGCCUGAUCAAGCAAUGCGGGGUGAGUGAGGAAGGCCUUAGGGUUGUAAAGCUCUUUUACCCGGGAUGAGAAUGACAGUACCGGGAGAAUAAGCUCCGGCUAACUACGUG
rnacentral:rRNA from 1 species